rnacentral:lncRNA from 1 species
GAACAGGCUCUGGAAUGUGGUUUACCCCUGCUUCCAAGAAUUCCCUGGGAGGAUAAUGUGGUGGUUUGAAUGAGAAUGGCCCCUCCUGGCUUCAUAUGAUGACGGUUGGUUCUCUGUUGGCGGAACUGUUUGGAAAGGACAGGAGAGUGUUCCCCUCUGGGCUCCUGACAAGGCACAGACCACAUCCAACUUCUGAGCACAAAUAAGCACAGUGAGAUCCUUUACCAAGCAAGGCAAAGAGAAGGCAACUCGAGCUGAAAUGCACAGAAACAGCGCUCUGUCAGUCUCCCUUGGGGAAAAUGAUGUUCAUGGUCUUUCCCUUCGUGGAGUAGUCAAAGGUUGUAUAUUCUAAGUACAGGAAAGAAAGCUUUCAGGGCUUCUUCAAGAGCAAUGACAACAGGCAGUAAGGCCGGAGUUCACCUCCAUACAGAGCCAGGCUGCAGCCACGUGAGAGUCCCCAGCAAAGCCCAGAAUUAAUCUGAAAACCAGGAUCAAUCACCCCAUGAUUCGCUGGACUGGCUGACCAAUGAGCUCCAGGAAUCUGCCCAUCUCUGCUGUCUACCCUCCCACCUGCUGUCUACCCUCCCACCAGAACUGGGAUUAUAGUGAGACUUCCCACGCCCAGCCUCUAUGUGGCUUCUGGGGAUCACACUUGAGCUCUUGUGUUUUCCCCAAAAGAAGGCACUUUGAGGACUGGUGUAUUUCUUAAGUCCCAAGACAUGGAGAGGAACAUGACCAAAGUGGGGACACCAUCAUACAGAGCAAAGAGCUAAAGUAAUUACAGUAGUCAGAUUCACUAUUUAUUGAUGAUAGUGUCCCCUGUGACAGAUUGCUAUCACCAAACGCUAAGAAAGACUGGGGAAUAAUGGGCACAGGGUGAUGGGUGCACUGAAAAUGUCCUGGAAUUAGUGGUGGCGGUGUAAAAUUGGUGAUUUUACUAAAAACAGCUGAAUUGAGUGUUUUAAAUGUGUUCAUAGUAUGGGAUUAAUGGGAUGAGUAAUAAAUAAAUAAUUUACUAUGCUCU